UCCUCGGCUUCCACGCUAGUGACCUUUCAAGUCAGCAGAACCUGCACCCCUCUCUCCUUCCUAGCAAUUCCCAUGAACUCUCGCCUCUCUUCUUUUCCGUUGCCAUCCUGCCUCGCCUCUCUUCUUUUCCGUUGCCAUCCUGCCUAGCGGCUCUCUUCUGCAUUUCCAUUCGCUUGGCUGAAGGCUCUCUCUGGGAGUUUUCUCAUCGCCUCGGUUUUUCAGUCGCGCAGCGAUUCUCUUCUGCAUUUUCCAGUCACGCGUCUGAAGCUUCUGUUUGAGAGAUUUCUCAUCGCCUCGGUUCUCAACCCUGUCACUUGCGCACGUUUUUAGAAAUCUGAGUGCUGAAACGCUUUGGAACAUUCUUGUUCUCGGGUUUACUGCGCUGGUUUGGAGCUUUGUCAACACGCUUCGGUUGAAUCUCAUCUGUACCGAGGUUCCAACUGCUAAAGUAUUCUCAUCUCCUUUGUGAUUUGGAUCUACUAUAAUUAAUCAGGUUCCAGCUGCUGAAGUAUUCUUAUCUCGUUUGUGACUUGGCUCCAGUUUAAAUAUUCGGGCUAUAGCUUUUACCUCCUCAAGAACUCCUCUCCUCCAGUGUGAACUCGGCAUGCAACACUGAGAAGCUAGCAUCUUCGCUCACAAUUCGAAAUCAGCAACCAGAUUCUGUAUCCAUUUCUAUCUGAUUGUGAAGAUCGAUUCCCAGCGUGGCAAUUAUAGCGCCGUCUUCCGUGUUGAGGCGUUCACACCGGCGCAGAGCUGCUUGCCGGUUCUUUUCUCCGUGUUCACACCAUCCUCUGACAUUUACAGCGGUAAGGUAAGGUCGUAAAGUGAGCAGUGCUCCUCGGCUUCCACACUAGUGACCUUUCAAGUCAGCAGAACCUGCACCCCUCUCUCCUUCCUAGCAAUUCCCAUGAACUCUCGCCUCUCUUCUUUUCCGUUGCCAUCCUGCCUCGCCUCUCUUCUUUUCCGUUGCCAUCCUGCCUAGCGGCUCUCUUCUGCAUUUCCAUUCGCUUGGCUGAAGGCUCUCUCUGGGAGAUUUCUCAUCGCCUCGGUUUUUCAGUCGCGCAGCGAUUCUCUUCUGCAUUUUCCAGUCGCGCGUCUGAAGCUUCUGUUUGAGAGAUUUCUCAUCGCCUCGGUUCUCAACCCUGUCACUUGCACACGUUUUUAGAAAUCUGAGUGCUGAAAUGCUUUGGAACAUUCUUGUUCUCGGGUUUACUGGUUUGUUCCUCUUCUAAACUAAAGCUUUGUAUGUUUAGUUUGUAUACAUUCACUAAUGUUUCCAGUGCUAUGCAUUUCAGUGCUGGUUUGGAGCUUUGUCAACACGCUUCGGUUGAAUCUCAUCUGUACCGAGGGGAGUUACCUGAAACAAAAAAAAAAUACCAAAGCGGUUCCAACUGCUAAAGUAUUCUCAUCUCCUUUGUGAUUUGGAUCUACUAUAAUUAAUCAGGUUCCAGCUGCUGAAGUAUUCUUAUCUCGUUUGUGACUUGGCUCCAGUUUAAAUAUUCGGGCUAUAGCUUUUACCUCCUCAAGAACUCCUCUCCUCCAGUGUGAACUCGGCAUGCAACACUGAGAAGCUAGCAUCUUCGCUCACAAUUCGAAAUCAGCAACCAGAUUCUGUAUCCAUUUCUAUCUGAUGGUGAAGAUCGAUUCCCAGCGUGGCAAUUAUAGCGCCGUCUUCCGUGUUGAGGCGUUCACACCGGCGCAGAGCUGCUUGCCGGUUCUUUUCUCCGUGUUCACACCAUCCUCUGACAUUUACAGCGGUAAGGUAAGGUCGUAAAGUGAGCAGUGCUCCUCGGCUUCCACACUAGUGACCUUUCAAGUCAGCAGAACCUGCACCCCUCUCUCCUUCCUAGCAAUUCCCAUGAACUCUCGCCUCUCUUCUUUUCCGUUGCCAUCCUGCCUCGCCUCUCUUCUUUUCCGUUGCCAUCCUGCCUAGCAGCUCUCUUCUGCAUUUCCAUUCGCUUGGCUGAAGGCUCCCUCUGGGAGAUUUCUCAUCGCCUCGGUUUUUCAGUCGCGCAGCGAUUCUCUUCUGCAUUUUCCAGUCGCGCGUCUGAAGCUUCUGUUUGAGAGAUUUCUCAUCGCCUCGGUUCUCAACCCUGUCACUUGCACACGUUUUUAGAAAUCUGAGUGCUGAAAUGCUUUGGAACAUUCUUGUUCUCGGGUUUACUGCGCUGGUUUGGAGCUUUGUCAACACGCUUCGGUUGAAUCUCAUCUGUACCGAGGGGAGUUACCUGAAACAAAAAAAAAAUACCAAAGCGGUUCCAACUGCUAAAGUAUUCUCAUCUCCUUUGUGAUUUGGAUCUACUAUAAUUAAUCAGGUUCCAGCUGCUGAAGUAUUCUUAUCUCGUUUGUGACUUGGCUCCAGUUUAAAUAUUCGGGCUAUAGCUUUUACCUCCUCAAGAACUCCUCUCCUCCAGUGUGAACUCGGCAUGCAACACUGAGAAGCUAGCAUCUUCGCUCACAAUUCGAAAUCAGCAACCAGAUUCUGUAUCCAUUUCUAUCUGAUGGUGAAGAUCGAUUCCCAGCGUGGCAAUUAUAGCGCCGUCUUCCGUGUUGAGGCGUUCACACCGGCGCAGAGCUGCUUGCCGGUUCUUUUCUCCGUGUUCACACCAUCCUCUGACAUUUACAGCGGUAAGGUAAGGUCGUAAAGUGAGCAGUGCUCCUCGGCUUCCACACUAGUGACCUUUCAAGUCAGCAGAACCUGCACCCCUCUCUCCUUCCUAGCAAUUCCCAUGAACUCUCGCCUCUCUUCUUUUCCGUUGCCAUCCUGCCUCGCCUCUCUUCUUUUCCGUUGCCAUCCUGCCUAGCGGCUCUCUUCUGCAUUUCCAUUCGCUUGGCUGAAGGCUCUCUCUGGGAGAUUUCUCAUCACCUCGGUACUCAACUCUUUCCCUUCUGUUCGUUUUUUUUCAUUUCUAGAUGCUGAACGCUUUGGAACAUCCUAGCUCCCGAAUUUACAGGUUUGUUUCUCUUUCAAUCUAAAGGUUUUUCAGUCGCGCAGCGAUUCUCUUCUGCAUUUUCCAGUCGCACGUCUGAAGCUUCUGUUUGAGAGAUUUCUCAUCGCCUCGGUUCUCAACCCUGUCACUUGCGCACGUUUUUAGAAAUCUGAGUGCUGAAAUGCUUUGGAACAUUCUUGUUCUCGGGUUUACUGCGCUGGUUUGGAGCUUUGUCAACACGCUUCGGUUGAAUCUCAUCUGUACCGAGGUUCCAACUGCUAAAGUAUUCUCAUCUCCUUUGUCAUUUGGAUCUACUAUAAUUAAUCAGGUUCCAGCUGCUGAAGUAUUCUUAUCUCGUUUGUGACUUGGCUCCAGUUUAAAUAUUCAGGCUAUAGCUUUUACCUCCUCAAGAACUCCUCUCCUCCAGUGUGAACUCGGCAUGCAACACUGAGAAGCUAGCAUCUUCGCUCACAAUUCGAAAUCAGCAACCAGAUUCUGUAUCCAUUUCUAUCUGAUGGUGAAGAUCGAUUCCCAGCGUGGCAAUUAUAGCGCCGUCUUCCGUGUUGAGGCGUUCACACCGGCGCAGAGCUGCUUGCCGGUUCUUUUCUCCGUGUUCACACCAUCCUCUGACAUUUACAGCGGUAAGGUAAGGUCGUAAAGUGAGCAGUGCUCCUCGGCUUCCACACUAGUGACCUUUCAAGUCAGCAGAACCUGCACCCCUCUCUCCUUCCUAGCAAUUCCCAUGAACUCUCGCCUCUCUUCUUUUCCGUUGCCAUCCUGCCUCGCCUCUCUUCUUUUCCGUUGCCAUCCUGCCUAGCGGCUCUCUUCUGCAUUUCCAUUCGCUUGGCUGAAGGCUCUCUUUGGGAGAUUUCUCAUCGCCUCGGUACUCAACUCUUUCCCUUCUGUUCGUUUUUUUUUCAUUUCUUGAUGCUGAACGCUUUGGAACAUCCUAGCUCCCGAAUUUACAGGCUAUAGCUUUUACCUCCUCAAGUACUCUCCUCCAGUGUGAACUCGGCAUGCAACACUGAAAAGCUAGCAUCUUCGCUCACAAUUCGAAAUCAGCAACCAGGUGUAUAGCAGUUGCUGACGCCAAGCACCACUUUCCAAGAACGGAAAAACUUCUACUCACUCUUUUCUCCAUCUGACUACUACUACAACUUCCAAUGCUGCUCCAUCCACCAAUAAAGGAAGUCCUACUGGACAGCUCCUCACCCUUGUACUCUCUUCCUCCUACGUCUACUCCUUCCAAGCUAGGAGAAGCAAGUUUCAUGGACCAAAACUCGCAGCCCCCCUUCCCAGUUAACAAACCCAUGGAACCAACCACUAAGAGGUCGACCAAACUCACCAAAAUGCACACUACUCCAAGAUGCAUACCAUUAGAUCUUGAAAUGAGAACAACUCGAGAAUGUCCGCACGAAAUAGAAGAAGAAACAGAGUUUCUUGGAAAGAGUCUGCAACGCAGCAAAAAUGAAGAUGAAUCUGCCCAUAUCACUAGCAGCAAUACUACUCUGCUCAGCCAGCGCAAAAGACAAACAAAAGGAAAAUCAGACCAAAUUGUUUCAUGGGUAGAAAGCAAAUCUGUUGGUGAAAUGACCAUUGCUAUUGACACUGAAUCAAAGCAAGGAAAAAAAAAGACUGCCAUUCUACUGUAUUUGAAAGACUUGAUGGUGUCCUGCCCCUCCUGCACCUACAACACUUGACCUGUACCUGGCGUUCUCCAAUUUUGACUGCCCUGCCUUCUUUUCCCAUCUGGUCCGGUGCAGGCAAGGAAGGGGGCGUCUCUUGCAUCAUGGAGUCUCUGGUUCACAUUCUGUUCCUUCCCCAGCUCCUCCACAUGAUUCAGGUGUUCUCAUCAUGUGCUGCUUCUGCCCUCCCUCCAUUGCAAGGGAAAAAAUAUGCCACUGCUUUGGCCCCGUUCCUCAUAAGUCAAAAAGGUCAAGCGCUACACAAGGGUGCAUAAAUAAGCACUGAUUAUCUCUAACAAGCAGGACAUCUCCACUCCUUCUGUGAAUUAUGAAGCCCCUUGCAGAAGUCUUUUGUUCCGUUGUAAUAACUAUAUCCAUAUUUUAGAUUUUUAUCCUAGACUAUGAAGCUGAUAGCUACUAUCUCAAUAAAUCUAAAACUCCUUGUAAAUAACUCUUAUAUUUCGUUGUGACAUAACCAGAAAAUUCUUAUUUGUCCUCUA